GUUUCCGUAGUGUAGCGGUUAUCACGUUCGCCUCACACGCGAAAGGUCCCCAGUUCGAAACUGGGCGGAAACA
rnacentral:tRNA from 1 species